UUUAUCGGAGAGUUUGAUCCUGGCUCAGGACGAACGCUGGCGGCGUGCCUAAUACAUGCAAGUCGAGCGGACAGAUGGGAGCUUGCUCCCUGAUGUUAGCGGCGGACGGGUGAGUAACACGUGGGUAACCUGCCUGUAAGACUGGGAUAACUCCGGGAAACCGGGGCUAAUACCGGAUGGUUGUUUGAACCGCAUGGUUCAGACAUAAAAGGUGGCUUCGGCUACCACUUACAGAUGGACCCGCGGCGCAUUAGCUAGUUGGUGAGGUAACGGCUCACCAAGGCGACGAUGCGUAGCCGACCUGAGAGGGUGAUCGGCCACACUGGGACUGAGACACGGCCCAGACUCCUACGGGAGGCAGCAGUAGGGAAUCUUCCGCAAUGGACGAAAGUCUGACGGAGCAACGCCGCGUGAGUGAUGAAGGUUUUCGGAUCGUAAAGCUCUGUUGUUAGGGAAGAACAAGUGCCGUUCAAAUAGGGCGGCACCUUGACGGUACCUAACCAGAAAGCCACGGCUAACUACGUGCCAGCAGCCGCGGUAAU
rnacentral:rRNA from 1 species